rnacentral:rRNA from 1 species
UACGUAGGGUGCAAGCGUUAAUCGGAAUUACUGGGCGUAAAGCGUGCGCAGGCGGUUCGGAAAGAAAGAUGUGAAAUCCCAGGGCUUAACCUUGGAACUGCAUUUUUAACUACCGGGCUAGAGUAUGUCAGAGGGGGGUAGAAUUCCACGUGUAGCAGUGAGAUGCGUAGAGAUGUGGAGGAAUACCGAUGGCGAAGGCAGCCCCCUGGGAUAAUACUGACGCUCAUGCACGAAAGCGUGGGGAGCAAACAGG